CGCUUGAAUUUUGUUUGCAGAUGUGCCACUGCUUUCUCUUUGGCUUUUUACCUGAUUGCCCAGACAGGUGUACGUACGAAGAACGAUCGAGACUUCGAGAGAGUUCAAGUGAGUUUCUUUGGUUUGCCGGAAGAGAGAGAGAGAGAGAGUGAGACAUGGAGAUAGAGAGAGGUAAUAUCCAGCAAACGAAAACUCUCACCUCAUCAUCUCAGCACGAGGUUAGUUGUUCUUCAUCACGAGAGUGAUCAGAGAGGUGCACAAAGAAAGAAGUUCCCAAAUUUCCAAUUGUUUUUUUUUUUUUUUGGUGAACCUUGAUUUUGUUGAUUCAAUUUUGAAUUGUUCUCUCAUUCUGAUGUGAGAUAUGUAUUGGAUUUGAAUUGGAAAGUUUUGAUUUGGGGGUUUAUACGCAUAUUACUUUGUUGUGUUUGCCUUUGAUAUUACUUUGUUAUGUUGGUCAUUGCGAUUUUGACUUCUAUACAUCAAUUUGGAACCACUGCUUACCAAGAAAGGUAAUCCUUCUAAUUCUUGGUUUGAAUUCAAUUCGUUACUUGCGGCACUUGGUUUGAAUUCCUUCUAAUUCAACUUCAAGUUCGGCACUUGGAUGUAAUGUAAAUGGGUAAGAGCUUUUCUUUAUUAUGUAACCUUUCUGCUGACGAUGGUGAUCAGCCUUAAAUGGUUUCCAUCUUCUAUGAUCUUCUUUUUGAUUCAAUUGUUCAUAAGUUGAAUCCAUUUUUUUAUGUUUGUUGUUUGUUUUUAAUUUGCAGAUUAUACAUGUUGAAGGAGCCAACAUCUCCACUGUUUUUCCACUCCGAGAAGCCUCUCCAUCAACAUCACGAUCACUCAAAAGCUUGAGGUUCAGAAAUUUGGUGAGAUCGCAAAACAACCUAUGUCAGAAGGUGAUAAUUCUGCAAAGUCUGUUGACCGCAAAUUAUCAUAUCGAUUGUUUUACCUCAAUGCAAUUUUUUCGUAGACUGAGUUCAACUGAAUGAUAUCAUUAAUGACAUAUCAGACAAGAGCUCAACUCAUAUAUAUCAUAUGAGCAAUUGAAGAGUGAAUGAGGAAGCCAUGGAUUGGAGAGUGAUACUAUUUACUGGCAUUGAACUUUUCCCUCAACGAAUGAGCUUUUCCUCUGUCAAGGGCAGAAGCAAUAAUCAAAAACGAAUAUACAUCACUACUUGGAGAUGAGGCAAAGGGUUGGUUGGAUACCACAUAUCUGUCCCAAUCUGGCAAUUUUCGUAUCUCAAGAAGAAAUAAGUGCAGGGAACAACAUUUGUUCUGCAAGAGAGAGCUGAACUUAGGCAAAGACUAUUGUCAAUCAUGUCCACUGGUACAAGAGUUAAAGAGGUAAUCGAGGAGUUUAUUUCCUUAUAUCAAAGUAUAGGUGAAUUGGAACUCCAAGAAGGGGAAUGGGAAAUGGUUUAGUUGACAGGUUGUUGCUGGGUUCUGAAGAUCUUUGUUAGCAAAACGAAUAUCAAUAGAUAUGGAAACUUGCUCAAACGCAGUGUCAGAUCCAAUGCCUAAGCGGAGAAAAAGUAAGAGAGAUUUACUUUUGCAAAAUGCUGAAAGUGUUGAUAAACGCAAACGAAGAAGGACUACAUCUGCUGAAACAAGCUGCAAUUCUGGUCCGAGUAUGUCCAACAUUCAAGAAGUUGAAAAUGUCGUUUCACAUGAACACAGCAUUGGACAAGCGUCAUAUGAAAGAAACAGGCACGCUUUGCCACUGACUUGGAAACAUCGGAUCUCGCCGCCGUUGAUCUUCUCUUUCUUCUAAAGUCAUGUAAUCAUCUUUAUCAAUUAUCAAGAACGAUCGAGAGAUAGAGAGAGAGAGAUAAAGAAAUCGGUCGUGUUUUUCUUUGCUUUGCAUGAAGAGAUAGAGAGAGGUAUCCGAGUCAAAUUCCUCAAGCGCUAGGGUUCCAAAGUUUGAACCUUUAAUCCGUUUGCAUAGUUGUGGCUUUUGGGGUUUCAGAGGGGAGAAAGGAAGAAACAGAAGAAAAAGGGGGAGACGGGAAGGACAGAGGAGGCAGAGGAAUCCAAAAGAGGAGAAGAACUGCUCUACUGCACAAAUUCAAGGAUGGAGGGGAGAAACUUGGCCAAUGCUACCUAGAAGAAAUUUGAGAUUGCAAGCAUGGUGGAAAAGACCACUGAAGUUAGGAGAUAUGAAUGAGGAAUUGCAAAAGUACACUUUAAUUCAGGAAAGAAAACCAAACCCGCAGCAUCGCGCGGGAAGGAUUAUCUAGUACAUAUAUCUAAAGCUCGGUUAACUGUUCAUCACUGUGCAAAAUGAAGUGGCGCUUUUGCCCUUGCUGUCUCCUUCAAUUACAAGUUUGCCAUUCUUCCUCACGCUUCUUACGCGAUCGUUUUUGUUUUAGGCUGACGGUGGUGUUUAACAAUAGAAGAGACUGGAGUAGUCGAAGGCGAUAAUAUACUGUUGGAAUCGGGAGAGCGGGAGAAGAGGUUAGUCUGCAUUCUGUUUGGAUCGAUCUUGAAAGCUUCGCUAUCGAAGAUCGUUGGGGUAAGAAAAAGAAGAGGAGAGAUUGAAGAUUUUGGUCGACUUUUGGAGGAAGGUUUGGGUUUGUCUUCGAAGAGGUUGCUGGGUUUUCGAAGAGUUAUGUGUUCAAUUUGGGUAUAUCUUUGGUAACAUGAAAGAAGAUGUCAAAAUUGUUUGAACUUUAAACAUUUAGUAUUGAAAAAGAUAAAAUUUGAAAGGAAGCUAUUUCUGCAAUGUUGGUUUUAGUUUUGAGUUUAGGAUCAUUUUCUGGACUUUACCCUCAAACUAAAUCUGUGAAUUUCAACUGGUGAGUUUUCUCUCCAAACUAUUUUGCCGCUAUGAUUAGUAAAAAUAUAUUCUCUAUUACUUCUCCACUUUCUUCACAUUAAAAAUAUGUGAUCAUGUAUCUAACUUUGUUAGUUUUCAUUGAAAGUAAAUUGUAUUCCUCCAGUUAGAUGGAUAUUGAUAAAAACAUGACAUAUAAGCAUUUCAAUGAUUUCAUGUUGUGUUAAAUUCUGGGAUACAGAAUUCUGGAUCACUGGAACUUCAUGUGCCACUGUAGCUUGCAGACACGCUUGGCAAACGAGUCUAUUUUAUCACUGGUCAAAAUGGGGUUUCAGAUGCCAAAAUCAAAGUAUAAAACUUUCGAGCAGAAUUACAUAUCAGAGUUGCCAGAGCUGCGCAUCGACAAGCGAAACUCAUAAAGAGCUUCAGGGCCAUUUCCUCAUAUCUUUAAGAUCAUAGUUAUAUUAGGAUUGAAGAACAGCAGACUUGAUGAAAACCUAUCUAUACUGACAUUCCAAUUUAAUAGAGUUUAGUGGUCUACAUUUGUCACUGUAUUAUAGAUGAUGAAUAAAAGUUCGAAUAAUGAUACUAUAUUUGUUUUUGUGUUUGA